UACGUAGGGUGCAAGCGUUUGUCCGGAAUUAUUGGGCGUAAAGAGCUCGUAGGCGGUCUGUCGCGUCGGCUGUGAAAACCCGGGGCUCAACCCCGGGCCUGCAGUCGGUACGGGCAGACUAGAGUGCGGUAGGGGAGACUGGAAUUCCUGGUGUAGCGGUGAAAUGCGCAGAUAUCAGGAGGAACACCGGUGGCGAAGGCGGGUCUCUGGGCCGUAACUGACGCUGAGGAGCGAAAAGCAUGGGGGAGCGAACAGG
rnacentral:rRNA from 1 species